rnacentral:rRNA from 1 species
CCUACGGGUGGCAGCAGUGAGGAAUAUUGGUCAAUGGACGCAAGUCUGAACCAGCCAUGCCGCGUGCAGGAAGACUGCUCUAUGAGUUGUAAACUUCUUUUUUACGGGGGUAAACGCAGAUACGCGUAUCUGUCUGAAAGUAUCGUACGAAUAAGGAUCGGCUAACUCCGUGCCAGCAGCCGCGGUAAUACGGAGGAUUCGAGCGUUAUCCGGAUUUAUUGGGUUUAAAGGGUGCGUAGGCGGUCGGAUAAGUUAGUGGUGAAAUCCCGAGGCUCAACUGCGGAAUUGCAUCUGAUACUGGUCGGCUAGAGAGUAGUUGAGGUAGGCGGAAUGCAUGGUGUAGCGGUGAAAUGCUUAGAGAUCAUACAGAACACCGAUUGCGAAGGCAGCCUACCAAGCUACUUCUGACGUUGAGGCACGAAAGUGUGGGGAGCAAACAGGAUUAGAUACCCCAGUAGUC